rnacentral:rRNA from 1 species
UACGUAGGGUCCAAGCGUUAUCCGGAAUCACUGGGCGUAAAGCGUGCGUAGGUGGAUGUUUAAGUGUGAUGUUAAAUCGUGGGGCUCAACCCUGUCGAUGCAUCGCAUACUGGACGUCUAGAGGACAGCAGAGGCAAGUGGAAUUAGCAGUGUAGCAGUGAAAUGCGUAGAUAUUGCUAGGAACACCAAUGGCGAAGGCAGCUUGCUGGGCUACUCCUGACACUGAUGUACGAAAGCGUGGGGAGCGAACAGG